UGACGUUUACCCAACACCUGGGUUCCAUCCACAGCCCUUCUGGGCCAUGCUGGGUUGUGGCCAGGACGGCAGAGCCUGCCCUUGCCCUUCACUGGGUCCUUGUCUCCUUGGGCAGGCCUCCUGUGGGUCUGGGGAGCAAGAGAGUAUCCUGUGACCUGGGCUUUAGUUUCCUGGCCAUGGUGGGAGGACAGGGGCCAGGGAUCAGCUGCAUCACCAGACCUAUUCAUGUGGCAGGGUCACAGGGACAGGAGGAACCCCCCUUCGCCUCACUUCUGGGCUUGGCUCGGAGCCCCCCUUGGCUGGCCUGGCGGAAAGCUGACAUUUCCUGUCCUGAGGGACAAGCUCAGCUGGUGCCCUGAGGAUGACAGCUCUGUGCCCUCCUGCUGGGGUGGCCCUGCUGGGAGCCAUUAAUAAGGUGUCCAGUCCAACACGUCCUCCUCAGAAGCCUCUGGAGUGGUCCCACCGGUCCCUGAAGUCACCCUGGUUCUGUCUUCUCAGUACAUUUUGCCGGUCUUGCUCCACCGCAGGUGUUGGCCCCAGCAUUAGAAUCUGCACAGAGCAGGGACUCCCCCAUGUGAAGGCCGAGUGGGUCCCGCUGCAGCAGGUGGAGAGGUGGGGCGUGCCUGGGCCCAGGCCUGGGCUGUACUCUCAGUUCCCGGGGGUUCAGUUCCAGGGGCCCAGGAAGGUACUAAAGGAGGAACAACAGAGAAACCUUGAUGGGAGGAGCAUCCUUUGAGGUUUCUAAAGCAUACCUUGAGUUCUGAAAGGCAGAGAAACGCAUUUCAGGGUGAGGGGGCUGGCUUGUCCUGAGGCCCUGAGGUGUGGAUGUUCCUGAGAUGUUGGGUGUCACGUCAAGGAAGAGUCCUUCUCUAGCUCUCUGCUCAUCCCCACUGUCCUUUUCUUGUUGAUUCAUAAGAACUCUUUGCAUAUGGGUACAUGAAUCCUUUUUUUUUUAAUCAUGAAAGAUUUAUCAUUUGCCUUUUAUUUUAUUUAUGAUGGGUUUUUGGUAAGCCACACCAUAAACAUUUUUAUUUUGGCAAAACUUCCAGUCUUUUCUUCAGCAGUCUUUCUGGAUCCAGGUUGCCACUUGUCUCUUUGAUCUCGAGUCCCCUGCUCUUCGGUGCACKUGCAGAAAAUAUCUGAGAACUUGAAUUAAGUGGACAUUGGAAAGAUGACAGCUGUGUGAAAAACAGAAGCUCUGAGAUCUUUGCCCACCUGGGUCACAGAUCCCUCUGGGGUUCCUUCCCAUCAUGACUAUCUGCUCACUCCUUCCUGCCGGAAGUGAGGCCCCGAUCUCUGGAGUGGGGCAGGGUCUCGGAUGACUACAGGGAUAGGCUGGGAGAUGGGAAGUCUCCGCAGGGGAAUCACAAUAUACUAACUCAUUGCAGCCUCGUGAGAUGGUGUUAACUUGAUUUAGUCUGAUUUUAUGGGCUAGAAAAUCGGGGUCCAGAGAGGUAAUGGGAUUUACCCAAGGCCACACAGAAAGGAGCAGAGAUAGGACUUGGAUCCAGGACCUGCUGCUGCAGACCUCUCUUAUGGCUCUCGAGCCCCUUGGGAUCAAGUUCAAGCUUGCUAAUAGGAUACCCAGUGCUUCUGGGGGCCUUGGUUUCUUUCUGCUGUCAGCGUGACACCUUGGCCCCCGUGCCUGCACACAGUAGGCAUUCAGGAGUGUUCUCCUUCCCUGUUAGGAUGACAGUGAUGUACCUCUGCCUGUUUCUGUGCACCCUCACUCCAGG
rnacentral:lncRNA from 1 species